GCUAUGUAGAGUGGCGCUCACGGCCGCGCUUGGCGUAGUAAGUUUCCAGUGCGUGCUGACCCAAUGAGUGUAGGGGGAGGCAGCGGAGGCCCGGUGCGCUGACCUAGAUUGCAUACGGCAUUGCUGGAGGCUAGGGACCGGCCGGGCAGUGCGGGUGUCCCUGGACCNNNNNNNNNNNNNNNNNNNNGGCGGCGAGUAGGGUGGCUUUUCGCUGAGUGCGGGGGCACCCGGCGGGGCGGGCCCAGUUGCACAGGGUUUCCAGGCCAGGGACCACGUGGGUCUACAUUAGCAGUAGUGGGCCGUGGGGCGCCCGGUGCGGUGACUUUCAGCGGUGCCGACCCGACUCAAGAGCUGUCUGUUGUGUGGAGGUCUUGGGGGCCCACACGGGUGGCUUUCAGCAGUUGCUCCGCACUAGUAAACCGGGAGGCAGCAGAGAACCAGAACAUGGCAGCGAGCAGCAGAGCCUACCCAGUAGUACAAAAGUCACUGAAUCGCAAGCAGGCUUUCCUCCCACAGCCAGGAACAAACACUCUAAGAGUGGCAGAGCUACAGGGGGUCAUGGCAUGAANGGUCAUGGCAUGAAACUGUGAGAUGGACACAAUUUCAGAUCUGUACCUGCAUCAGGGACCUGUUGUGCCAGGCAUUUGCUGCAUAGUCUCCUGCUGCCUCCUGGUCCAGUGGUUGCAGGCAAGUCUUGCCUUGUGUGUAAUUAAUUAGUCAGCACUUGUGGCAGAGUGAGAAGGAAAGUCAAGAGCUGUCAGCACGUGGGUGUACUUCCUCCUUCUGGCAGAAAUACUCAAAGAAGAGGAGAAAGAAAUGGGAGAUUUUCCCGGUUUGUGUCUGCACAUUUGCAGAGUCCUAGUGCAGUGACAUUUUCCCUUUGUUUGUAGCUUUCCCUGUUGUUUUAGAGUUGAGGGUGUAGCUUGCUCCUGCCAGACCCUUUUUGUAGUUUGUAGCCCCCUCUCCCCAGUGGUUUGAUGCCUUCUUCAUCACUCAACUCAUCUGUCAUGUUCUUUUCCUUCCCUGAAGCUUUUCCUGCUUCCCUACAACAUUGCCAAGUGCUGGAAAGAGGAAGAACGGCCUCCAACAAAACCCUGUACCUGUAAUGAACACUGGCAAAGUACUACUUCUCUUUCAGGUUAAGAGAAGAGCUCAAGUGUUAAAGGCUUAGAUGCAUGACACAGAUACCUUUCCCUCCUUCAUUUUGAGAUGACAGGCCUGUCUGUUCCAACCCCAAAGGCACAGAAGGUACUCUUUAAACUGUACCACAACAUCCCACCCACACUCCCCUCUCCUAUCCCCAUCCUCACCAUGACAUGAGAGACCCACAGAGGCAUCAGGGCCAGGAGAGCUCUGAAGGAGUGCUGUACAUGUGUGAACCACUGUGCACAGCUCUGUGCUUGUGAGUAUGCACAAGUUCUGCAAGUGUAAACAUAGCUCUGUGUGAGACAUAUAUUAAUAUGUAUAGCACUGCAUACAUUGGUGUGCUCAAACUCUACGUACAAGCAAGUCUUGUGCUUGUAGGCACAUGUGCAUCAGUAGAGACUACAUAAGUGAGUGUAUAACA
rnacentral:lncRNA from 1 species